UACGUAGGGUGCAAGCGUUGUCCGGAAUUAUUGGGCGUAAAGGGCUCGUAGGCGGUCCGUCACGUCGGGAGUGAAAUCCUGGGGCUUAACCCCAGAACUGCUUCCGAUACGGGCAGACUAGAGGUAGGUAGGGGAGAAUGGAAUCCCUGGUGUAGCGGUGGAAUGCGCAGAUAUCAGGAGGAACACCAGUGGCGAAGGCGGUUCUCUGGGCCGGUACUGACGCUGAGACGCGAAAGCGUGGGGAGCGAACAGG
rnacentral:rRNA from 1 species